rnacentral:rRNA from 2 species
GGGUUGUGAGGUUAAGCGACUAAGCGUACACGGUGGAUGCCCUGGCAGUCAGAGGCGAUGAAGGACGUGCUAAUCUGCGAUAAGCGCCGGUAAGGUGAUAUGAACCGUUAUAACCGGCGAUUUCCGAAUGGGGAAACCCAGUGUGAUUCGUCACACUAUCAUUAACUGAAUCCAUAGGUUAAUGAGGCGAACCGGGGGAACUGAAACAUCUAAGUACCCCGAGGAAAAGAAAUCAACCGAGAUUCCCCCAGUAGCGGCGAGCGAACGGGGAGGAGCCCAGAGCCUGAAUCAGCAUGUGUGUUAGUGGAAGCGUCUGGAAAGGCGCGCGAUACAGGGUGACAGCCCCGUACACAAAAGCGCAUGUGCUGUGAGCUCGAUGAGUAGGGCGGGACACGUGGUAUCCUGUCUGAAUAUGGGGGGACCAUCCUCCAAGGCUAAAUACUCCUGACUGACCGAUAGUGAACCAGUACCGUGAGGGAAAGGCGAAAAGAACCCCGGCGAGGGGAGUGAAAAAGAACCUGAAACCGUGUACGUACAAGCAGUGGGAGCACAGGUUUACCUGUGUGACUGCGUACCUUUUGUAUAAUGGGUCAGCGACUUAUAUUCUGUAGCAAGGUUAACCGAAUAGGGGAGCCGGAGGGAAACCGAGUCUUAAUUGGGCGUUAAGUUGCAGGGUAUAGACCCGAAACCCGGUGAUCUAGCCAUGGGCAGGUUGAAGGUUGGGUAACACUAACUGGAGGACCGAACCGACUAAUGUUGAAAAAUUAGCGGAUGACCUGUGGCUGGGGGUGAAAGGCCAAUCAAACCGGGAGAUAGCUGGUUCUCCCCGAAAGCUAUUUAGGUAGCGCCUCGUGAAUUCAUCUCCGGGGGUAGAGCACUGUUUCGGCUAGGGGGCCAUCCCGGCUUACCAACCCGAUGCAAACUGCGAAUACCGGAGAAUGUUAUCACGGGAGACACACGGCGGGUGCUAACGUCCGUCGUGAAGAGGGAAACAACCCAGACCGCCAGCUAAGGUCCCAAAGUCAUGGUUAAGUGGGAAACGAUGUGGGAAGGCCCAGACAGCCAGGAUGUUGGCUUAGAAGCAGCCAUCAUUUAAAGAAAGCGUAAUAGCUCACUGGUCGAGUCGGCCUGCGCGGAAGAUGUAACGGGGCUAAACCAUGCACCGAAGCUGCGGCAGCGACGCUUAUGCGUUGUUGGGUAGGGGAGCGUUCUGUAAGCCUGUGAAGGUGGCCUGUGAGGGUUGCUGGAGGUAUCAGAAGUGCGAAUGCUGACAUAAGUAACGAUAAAGCGGGUGAAAAGCCCGCUCGCCGGAAGACCAAGGGUUCCUGUCCAACGUUAAUCGGGGCAGGGUGAGUCGACCCCUAAGGCGAGGCCGAAAGGCGUAGUCGAUGGGAAACGGGUUAAUAUUCCCGUACUUGGUGUUACUGCGAAGGGGGGACGGAGAAGGCUAUGUUGGCCGGGCGACGGUUGUCCCGGUUUAAGCGUGUAGGCUGGUUUUCCAGGCAAAUCCGGAAAAUCAAGGCUGAGGCGUGAUGACGAGGCACUACGGUGCUGAAGCAACAAAUGCCCUGCUUCCAGGAAAAGCCUCUAAGCAUCAGGUAACAUCAAAUCGUACCCCAAACCGACACAGGUGGUCAGGUAGAGAAUACCAAGGCGCUUGAGAGAACUCGGGUGAAGGAACUAGGCAAAAUGGUGCCGUAACUUCGGGAGAAGGCACGCUGACACGUAGGUGAAGUGAUUUACUCACGGAGCUGAAGUCAGUCGAAGAUACCAGCUGGCUGCAACUGUUUAUUAAAAACACAGCACUGUGCAAACACGAAAGUGGACGUAUACGGUGUGACGCCUGCCCGGUGCCGGAAGGUUAAUUGAUGGGGUCAGCGCAAGCGAAGCUCCUGAUCGAAGCCCCGGUAAACGGCGGCCGUAACUAUAACGGUCCUAAGGUAGCGAAAUUCCUUGUCGGGUAAGUUCCGACCUGCACGAAUGGCGUAAUGAUGGCCAGGCUGUCUCCACCCGAGACUCAGUGAAAUUGAACUCGCUGUGAAGAUGCAGUGUACCCGCGGCAAGACGGAAAGACCCCGUGAACCUUUACUAUAGCUUGACACUGAACAUUGAGCCUUGAUGUGUAGGAUAGGUGGGAGGCUUUGAAGUGUGGACGCCAGUCUGCAUGGAGCCGACCUUGAAAUACCACCCUUUAAUGUUUGAUGUUCUAACGUGGACCCGUAAUCCGGGUUGCGGACAGUGUCUGGUGGGUAGUUUGACUGGGGCGGUCUCCUCCUAAAGAGUAACGGAGGAGCACGAAGGUUGGCUAAUCCUGGUCGGACAUCAGGAGGUUAGUGCAAUGGCAUAAGCCAGCUUGACUGCGAGCGUGACGGCGCGAGCAGGUGCGAAAGCAGGUCAUAGUGAUCCGGUGGUUCUGAAUGGAAGGGCCAUCGCUCAACGGAUAAAAGGUACUCCGGGGAUAACAGGCUGAUACCGCCCAAGAGUUCAUAUCGACGGCGGUGUUUGGCACCUCGAUGUCGGCUCAUCACAUCCUGGGGCUGAAGUAGGUCCCAAGGGUAUGGCUGUUCGCCAUUUAAAGUGGUACGCGAGCUGGGUUUAGAACGUCGUGAGACAGUUCGGUCCCUAUCUGCCGUGGGCGCUGGAGAACUGAGGGGGGCUGCUCCUAGUACGAGAGGACCGGAGUGGACGCAUCACUGGUGUUCGGGUUGUCAUGCCAAUGGCACUGCCCGGUAGCUAAAUGCGGAAGAGAUAAGUGCUGAAAGCAUCUAAGCACGAAACUUGCCCCGAGAUGAGUUCUCCCUGAGACUUUAAGUCUCCUGAAGGAACGUUGAAGACGACGACGUUGAUAGGCCGGGUGUGUAAGCGCAGCGAUGCGUUGAGCUAACCGGUACUAAUGAACCGUGAGGCUUAACCUUACAACGCCGAAG